UGGGGAAUAUUGCACAAUGGGCGAAAGCCUGAUGCAGCAACGCCGCGUGAGUGAUGAAGGCCUUCGGGUUGUAAAGCUCUGUCUUUUGGGACGAUAAUGACGGUACCAAAGGAGGAAGCCACGGCUAACUACGUGCCAGCAGCCGCGGUAAUACGUAGGUGGCAAGCGUUGUCCGGAUUUACUGGGCGUAAAGGAUGCGUAGGCGGAUUUUUAAGUGAGAUGUGAAAUACCCGGGCUUAACUUGGGUGCUGCAUUUCAAACUGGGAAUCUAGAGUGCGGGAGAGGAGAAUGGAAUUCCUAGUGUAGCGGUGAAAUGCGUAGAGAUUAGGAAGAACACCAGUGGCGAAGGCGAUUCUCUGGACCGUAACUGACGCUGAGGCAUGAAAGCGUGGGUAGCAAACAGGAUUAGAUACCCUGGUAGUCCACGCCGUAAACGAUGAGUACUAGGUGUAGGAGGUAUCGACCCCUUCUGUGCCGCAGUUAACACAAUAAGUACUCCGCCUGGGAAGUACGAAUCGCAAGAUUAAAACUGCAAAUGAAUUGACGGGGUCAUAGC
rnacentral:rRNA from 1 species